UACGAAAGGUGCAAGCGUUACUCGGAAUUACUGGGCGUAAAGCGCACGCAGGCGGUCUGCUAAGUUUGGAGUGACAGUUGGUGGCUUAACUGCCAAAGUGCUUCGAAAACUGACAGACUUGAGGGCUUCAGAGGGACACGGAAUUCCGGGUGGAGUGGUGAAAUGCGUAGAGAUCCGGAGGAACACCAAAGGCGAAGGCAGUGUCCUGGGGAGUACCUGACGCUCAGGUGCGAAAGCCAGGGGAGCGAACGGG
rnacentral:rRNA from 1 species